rnacentral:rRNA from 1 species
GACGAACGCUGGCGGCGUGCUUAACACAUGCAAGUCGAACGGAAAGGCCCUGCUUUUGUGGGGUGCUCGAGUGGCGAACGGGUGAGUAACACGUGAGUAACCUGCCCUUGACUUUGGGAUAACUUCAGGAAACUGGGGCUAAUACCGGAUAGGAGCUCCUGCUGCAUGGUGGGGGUUGGAAAGUUUCGGCGGUUGGGGAUGGACUCGCGGCUUAUCAGCUUGUUGGUGGGGUAGGGGCUUACCAAGGCUUUGACGGGUAGCCGGCCUGUGAGGGUGACCGGCCACAUUGGGACUGAGAUACGGACCAGACUCCUACGGGAGGCAGCAGUGGGGAAUAUUGCACAAUGGGCGGAAGCCUGAUGCAGCAACGCCGCGUGCGGGAUGACGGCCUUCGGGUUGUAAACCGCUUUCGCCUGUGACGAAGCGUGAGUGACGGUAAUGGGUAAAGAAGCACCGGCUAACUACGUG